UACGUAGGGUGCGAGCGUUGUCCGGAAUUAUUGGGCGUAAAGGGCUCGUAGGCGGUUUGUCGCGUCGGGAGUGAAAUCCACUGGCUUAACUGGUGGCUUGCUUUCGAUACGGGCAGACUGGAGGUAUGCAGGGGAGAACGGAAUUCCUGGUGUAGCGGUGGAAUGCGCAGAUAUCAGGAGGAACACCGGUGGCGAGGGCGGGUCUCUGGGCAGUAACUGACGCUGAGGAGCGAAAGCGUGGGGAGCGAACAGG
rnacentral:rRNA from 1 species